rnacentral:rRNA from 1 species
AGAGUUUGAUCAUGGCUCAGGAUGAACGCUAGCGGCAGGCCUAAUACAUGCAAGUCGAACGAUAGUGAGAAGCUUGCUUCUCACGAAAGUGGCGCACGGGUGCGUAACGCGUAUGCAACCUACCUUAAUCAGGGGGAUAGCCCGAAGAAAUUCGGAUUAACACCGCAUAAAAUCACAGUAUAGCAUUAUACAAUGAUCAAAUAUUUAUAGGAUUAAGAUGGGCAUGCGUGACAUUAGUUAGUUGGCGGGGUAACGGCCCACCCAAGACCACGAUGUCUAGGGGGAUCUGAGAGGAUGACCCCCCCACACUGGUACUGAGACACGGACCCAGACUCCUACGGGAGGCAGCAGUAAGGAAUAUUGGUCAAUGGAGGCAACUCUGAACCAGCCAUGCCGCGUGCAGGAAGACAGCCCUCUGGGUCGUAAACUGCUUUUAUUCGGGAAUAAACCUAUCUACGUGUAGAUAGCUGAAUGUACCGAAGGAAUAAGGAUCGGCUAACUCCGUGCCAGCAGCCGCGGUAAUACGGAGGAUCCAAGCGUUAUCCGGAUUUAUUGGGUUUAAAGGGUGCGUAGGCGGCUUAUUAAGUCAGGGGUGAAAGACGGUGGCUCAACCAUCGCAGUGCCUUUGAUACUGAUGAGCUUGAAUGUACUAGAGGUAGGCGGAAUGUGACAAGUAGCGGUGAAAUGCAUAGAUAUGUCACAGAACACCGAUUGCGAAGGCAGCUUACUAUGGUAUCAUUGACGCUGAGGCACGAAAGCGUGGGGAUCAAACAGGAUUAGAUACCCUGUAGUCC